CUCGUGGCUACCUGCCUUACUUGCUGUGUCUAUUUCUUGCAGGGACAGCGCUCGCUGCCUGCCUGCAUUCCAGUUUACAACAGUAUCAUCAAUGACAACAAACAAAUAACUUCAUUCUAUGACUGGGAGGCUGCAAAUUACUUGACCUGUAGAAAUCUAGGCAUCAAGCAGUCAUAAUGUUAUCUAAAACCUCUGGAAAAGGUGGAUUGGACUCUUCUUGCAGCGUGUCUGCACAGCACCCCUGGCACUGAGGAGGAGGGCAACAUUCAGCUAUGUCUUGUGAAGCAGGGCCUCAAUAUACGCAAGAGUUGCUUGAGAAGUCUGAUCCUUUCAUGACAAGAGGUCCCUCCUGUUCUAAUGAUGGUCCUGCUGCAGAACAGCUGUCUCUUUCAGUUCUUCCUCCUGCUCCCUCCCAGGAGAAUCUGCUGCUUGCCCUGUAAAAUGGCUUGACUUCUGCUUGCAUUAGUUUCUUCUUGGCUGUAUGUGUGACUGAUACAGUUGAGCCUUGGUUGCUUGGUUUACCCUGACACAGUGCUGUGAGCUGUAAAUCAUUGGCAUUGCCAAGGAAAAACACGCAUCUUCUAACAUUGUCACUUUUUUAGGAUUCUGCACUUGUUCAGGGAUGGCCUCUGUGAGAAAAGUUCAGAAGCUGCCACAUCUUAGAUAAGAGCCAUUUCCAGUCAGCUCAAAAUUAACCCUACUGAAGCUGCUGGGGUUGAAACUAAGAGUCAUAAUCAAGUUUUUAAUGGAAAACAGUUGUUUUCUGUGCUUUGGUUUAAAACAUAUGAAGCUGGUUCACUCUGAAGGUGCAGAAUGAAGGCUGAUGCAAAGGAAACUGUUACAAAGAAACUGAUGAAAACACACUGGUAUUGGAGUAGAAUCACUUCUGGAUCUUCUGAGUAUUCUUUUCUUCUUUAUUAUUUACUUUCCUUUUUUUAUUUUUAUUUUAGUACUACACCAAUUCCUAGUCACUUUAGACUUUAGACUUAUACUUGCAGUGGUGAUAGUGCUCUGGGAUGUACUCAGCACUUGAAUUUUUUGCUUAUUUCUUUACAGUUAUUCUCCAUUCAGCGAGGAGAAAGCUAAUCCUCUGUUUUUGCCAAUAAAAACAAGAAAAUGGUGCUUAUUACAGGAGAGAUAAGCAACUUGACCAUAAUGAUUUGUUUUCUCCACAGAAAUAGUGCUCUCACAUGAUGCCAAUAAGAGGUUGUUAAACUUAAUUUGCCAAACAAAUAUACUGAAAAUUAUGUUGUAUCCUAUAUAAUUUUUGUUUCAUAUGAUGCCAAGUUUUCUGACUUUGAGCAAAUAAUUACUAAAAAAAUUGAAUCUUUAAAGCAAUAUAAAGUGCAAAUUUUUCUC
rnacentral:lncRNA from 7 species